AGCAGGUGCUGGAACUGCUCGACAGCGACGGGCUGGUGGUGUGCGCCCGCGGGCUCGGCGCCGACCGGCUCCUCUACCAUUUCCUGCGGCUUCACUGCCACCCUGCCUGCCUGGUGCUGGUGCUCAACACGCAGCCUGCCGAGGAGGAGUACUUUAUCAAUCAGUUGAAGACAGAAGGAGUCAAACACCUGGCAUCCUCGUGUACAGAGCACACAGGAUCAUUGAGUCUUGCCAG
rnacentral:lncRNA from 1 species